AGCUUUAAAAAGUAUAUAGAUUGCAAUUCUAUAAAGGUAAAUAAAAUUACUAAGGCUU
rnacentral:tRNA from 1 species